CGAGAGAGCCGAGGCGCCGGAGCUCCUACUCCUCCUCGGAUCCCUCUCAAGGCUUCCCGAACUCGUUAUACAACUCUUUUCUAAAUUGGAUUUGGACUAUUUCAACUAGGAGCCGAAUUGAUGUUAGUGUAACUCAACCUGCUAUCAAGGCAGCAGAAAGAUAGAAUAAUUGAUUACUGGAUAGUCAACUCACCCAUAAUCACAUAUGGGAGACACAUCACCCGAGGUGAACAGGGAAACGGGAUCCCCACAAAAUUCAAAUCGAACUCCGGAGAAGCCACUCAGUAUUGGUGAAUUUGAUGCAGAAAAUGGUGACGAUAAAUCUGCUGAAUGUACUCCGAAUCAG
rnacentral:misc_RNA from 1 species